AGCAGCCGCGGUAAUUCCAGCUCCAAUAGCGUAUAUUAAAGUUGUUGCAGUUAAAAAGCUCGUAGUUGAAUUUCGGGGUCAGUAGGUCGGUCGUGCCACUGGUAUGAACUGGUUUUACUGAUUCCUCCCUCUUGAAGAACUGUAAUGCCAUUAAUUUGGUGUUGCAGGGAAUCAGGACUGUUACUUUAGAAAAAUUAGAGUUAGUUUAAAGCAGGCUCACGCUUGAAUACAUUAGCA
rnacentral:rRNA from 1 species